rnacentral:rRNA from 1 species
CAAAAAAGUCCUGAACACACCUGAUCUUGUCAGAUCUCGGAAGCAAAGCAGGGUCGGGCCUGGUUAGUAUUUGGAUGGGAGACCGCCUGGGAAUACCAGGUG